GACGAACGCUGGCGGCGUGCCUAAUGCAUGCAAGUAGAACGCUGAAGAGAGGGGCUUGCUCUUCUUGGAUGAGUUGCGAACGGGUGAGUAACGCGUAGGUAACCUGCCUUGUAGCGGGGGAUAACUAUUGGAAACGAUAGCUAAUACCGCAUAACAAUGGAUGACACAUGUCAUUUAUUUGAAAGGGGCAAUUGCUCCACUACAAGAUGGACCUGCGUUGUAUUAGCUAGUAGGUGAGGUAAUGGCUCACCUAGGCGACGAUACAUAGCCGACCUGAGAGGGUGGUCGGCCACACUGGGACUGGGACACGGCCCCGGCUCCUACGGGGGGCAGCAGUAGGGGAUCUUCGGCAAUGGGGGCAACCCUGACCGCGCAACGCCGCGUGAGUGAAGGAGGUUUUCGGAUCGUGAAGCUCUGUUGUAAGUCAAGAACGGGUGUGAGAGUGGAAAGUUCACACUGUGACGGUAGCUUACCAGAAAGGGACGGCUAACUACGUG
rnacentral:rRNA from 1 species